GUCCUGGUCCAAAGUAGUGUAGUGGGAAAGGGCCCUGGUCCAAAGUAGUGCACUAUAUAGGAAAGGGGCCCUGGUCCAAAGUAGUGCACUAUAUAGGGAAAGGGUCCUGGUCCAAAGUAGUGCACUAUAUAGGGAAAGGGCCCUGGUCCAAAGUAGUGCACUAUAUAGGGAAUAGGGCCCUGGUCCAAAGUAGUGCACUAUAUAGGGAAUAGGGCCCUGGGCCAAAGUAGUGCACUAUAUAGGGAAUAGGGCCCUGGGCCAAAGUAGUGCACUAUAUAGGGAAUAGGGUCCUGGUCCAAAGUAGUGCACUAUAUAGGGAAUAGGGUCCUGGUCCAAAGUAGUGCACUAUAUAGGGAAUAGGGCCCUGGGCCAAAGUAGUGCUCUAUAUAGGGAAUAGGGUCCUGGUCCAAAGUAGUGCACUAUAUAGGGAAUAGGGCCCUGGUCCAAAGUAGUGCACUAUAUAGGGAAUAGGGUCCUGGUCCAAAGUAGUGCACUAUAUAGGGAAUAGGGCCCUGGUCCAAAGUAGUGCACUAUAUAGGGAAUAGGGCCCUGGUCCAAAGUAGUGCACUAUAU
ensembl:lncRNA